UGAUAGUAUUAAAUGGCUGCGGUAUUUUGACCGUACAAAGGUAGCAUAAUCAUUAGUUUAUUAAUUGUAAGCUCGUAUGAAUGGUUUGAUGAAAUAUUAACUGUCUUUAUAAUAUAUUUAUAAUUUAAUUUUUUGGUUAAAAAGCCUAAAUUUUUUUAAGGGACGAGAAGACCCUAUAGAUCUUUAUUUAUAUAAAUAUUUAAAUAUUAAUUUACAUUUUAUUAUUUAAUUAAAUUUAGUUGGGGUGACAUAAAGAUAUAAAAAACUCUUUAAAAUUUUUUCAUUUAUUUAUGAUAUUUAAAAUUUGUAUUAUACAUUUAAUAAUUAGAUACCUUAGGGAUAACAGAGUAAUUUAAUUUGAGAGUUCAUAUUGACAAUUAAGAUUGCUACCUCGAUGUUGGAUUAAGAAUAGUAUUUGGCGUAGAAGUUAAAAUAAUUUGGUCUGUUCGACCUUUAAAUUCUUACAUGAUCUGAGUU
rnacentral:rRNA from 1 species